AGGAAUUAAGAAUUUUAUAAAAAAUGUCUAAGUUUGACUCGAAGGAUUAGAAACACUUGACUUAUUUGCUAUAUGAAAUCCAUGUGAGCGGUGUAUAGGUGAGGUGAUUAGUGCCAAUAUGCCACCAAUUUAUCUGUUUUUCUUGUUUCUUUCUCGUUCCUCUCAUAUUGUCUCAUUUCAUCUCAUAACUACUACAUGUUUUACUUGUAUUUCCACGCUUAAUUGCUACUUU
rnacentral:lncRNA from 1 species